GGUUGGUGUUUUCGAAUGUUGCUCUGUUUAAAGUCCAUUCUUGAAUAUGGCUAAUAGUUUGGCCCAGAGAGGGUGAAAGGCCCGUGUGGACAGAGCGAUGUUUGACUGUGCUAACCAUGGAGUCGGGUUGUUUGAGAAUGCAGCCCAAAGUUGGUGGUAAACUCCAUCUAAGGCUAAAUACUGGCACGAGUCCGAUAGCGAACAAGUACCGUGAGGGAAAGUUGAAAAGUACUCUGAAGAGAGAGUUAACAGUGCGUGAAACCGCUUAGAAGCAAACGGGUGUAGUCAAGCUGCAAGCCUUAAGAAAUAGGUUGGUCAGAAUGGCGUGAGUCUGAGCAUACAGAGCUGCCAGGUAGGUCCGACUAUAUGUCGGGUUCGGCUCGCAAGAGUCGGAUUUGUGGAGCGUUUACGCGCUGCAUGCCUGCUUGUCAGUUGCUCUACUGGCCCUCUCAAUUUCUUUUGGCGUAUGUCACGACCGUCUUCGCUGUCGGUCUGCUCCAUUUAAACCGUUUCGUGAGUAGUUUCGUGCUGCUUGCGUUCUGGGGGCAGGUAGCUGAUCUAGUCUCGGCUGGAUUGGUGUAAUUGCUGAGUGGAGUGGUACCUGUAACUGUGCAGUAAGAUGGGGCUGGCGGUGCAUUGUUGCCGGGCGUGCGUGUGUUAUCGUGGUUGGCGUAUGGCUAUCUGUUGCUGUUAAUA
rnacentral:rRNA from 1 species